rnacentral:tRNA from 1 species
GAGGGUAUAGCUCAGUGGUGGAGCACAUGCUUAGCAUGCACGAGGUCCUGGGUUCAAUCCCUAGUUCCUCCA